ACAUUCUGAACAUGGGAUUCCAAAGUGCAAUUGAAAGAGCUUUACAUGUGUGGGGAAUGGCCAAGGCCAAUGUAAUGGUUUAAUUGGCCUUGACGUGGAGGUAUGCUCCUGGCUAGGUAAAAAAAUUGGCGGGGCUUAAGGAUAUUUGUGGUCAAGCUUUAAGGCGGUCCGCUGCAGAGAUCUGAUGCAGAGGCUGGCUGGGAAGAUAUGUAUGAACAGGUAUUAGUAUCAUUAGCAAUAUUAAUGUUCUGAUUGAUAUGAUAUUUAAUAAACAACAGCUGCGGCCAUUCUCCACCA